rfam:Kytococcus sedentarius DSM 20547, complete genome.
GGCGUACCCCACGGGAGCUCGGGCACGAGCUGAGAGCGGACUGUUGCCGUCCGGACCGUUCGAACCUGUCCGGUUAGCACCGGCGGAGGAAGCGAGGACGACGAUGUCGU